CCUACGGGAGGCAGCAGUGGGGGAUAUUGCACAAUGGGGGAAACCCUGAUGCAGCGACGCCGCGUGUGCGAAGAAGUAUUUCGGUAUGUAAAGCCCUAUCAGUAGGGAAGAAGAAAUGACGGUACCUGAGUAAGAAGCACCGGCUAAAUACGUGCCAGCAGCCGCGGUAAUACGGAUGGUGCAAGCGUUAUCCGGAUUUACUGGGUGGAAAGGGAGAGUAGGCGGGCCUAUAAGUCUGAAGUGAAAAUUUGGGGCUCAACCCCAAACGUGCAUUGGAAAUUGGGGGGCUUGUGGGCCGGAGAGGCAGGCGGAAUUCCUAGGGGAGCGGUGAAAUGCGGAGAUAUUAGGAGGAAAACCAGUGGCGAAGGCGGCCUGCUGGACGGUAACUGACGCUGAGGUUCGAAAGCGUGGGGAGCAAACAGGAUUAGAUACCCGAGUAGUC
rnacentral:rRNA from 1 species